CACCAGGAAGGCUUGGAUGGGAAAGGUCGUAACAUGUAUCCAGCAACGAUCUGGCUCCGUGACCGGACGUUGAGGCGCCGGUUGAGGAUUGGGCCGGUGUUGGGGAUCACGAAAAACUGUCGUUCUCUCGCAAAUUCAGGAUCAAGAAACAAAACUUAGUUAACCUCGUAAGAAGAACUUAGUUAACCUCGUAACUUCUUACGAAAACUAUUAUGGUAGUAAAACUUGU
rnacentral:lncRNA from 1 species